ACUCGUUCAUGGAUCCGAAUGUUCACCCGAGGCUCGCUGUUUACCAGGGGCCAGAUGAUAGAUCAGUGCUUUCUUUGCAAGACACUCAUAGGUCAGAGUUAUUAUAGACUGGUGCUAUAGGGAUAGCGACUAGGCUCCGUCCCCGUAGGCUACAGAGAGCGUGGACUCUUUUACGCAAGCAGCCUCACACCCCCGCGUCUUAGAGAUAUUAUUUCGGGGCUGUAUCUAUCGUUGCGUGUCCGUUGGUUGGGUACAACAUGAUUGGGCGCUCAUUACAGCCAUGGUUGAGCGGUGGAGGCCGGAGACACAUACCUUCCAUGUUCGCAUUGGUGAGGCCACGAUUACACUUCAGGAUGUGGAGGUCCUGUUUGGAUUGCGGGUAGAUGAAGAGCCAUUAUACAGUCGGUACGAGCCUCCUCUUGGUAGGACAUGGGUGACGGAGUUGACUAGGCUCACCCACUUCAUGCCUAGUUCCGCGACCCAUAUCUCAGGACAGAGUCGGGUGCAGAUUAGUGCACUCUUCACUUAUUUUCUCGAAGAGCCUCCUAUUGAGGGCGAUACUCAGCAGGACGUUGUUGAUCAUCAUGCCCGUUUAUAUUUGCUUAUUAUAUUCGGGGGCAUCUUGUUCCUGAACACAUCGGGUGCCUAUGUCAGCUUACGAUAUUUGGUCUUUUUGGAGCAUCUGGACCGCUUGGAAGAUUACAGCUAGGGCGUUGCUGUUUUGGCGUACCUCUACCGAUGCCUAUGCUGAGCCUCUAUUGGUCGUAUCAGCGAUGUGUGGAUUUUUUGCUCUUCUCCAGUUAUGGGCAUGGGAGAGGAUGAUGCCUUUUCAGCCCGUAUCUAGGCAUCACCUCGGUAUUGACCUGCCCUAUGCGAGGAGGUGGACGACAGGUUUUGACCGGGAUGUGGAUAUGCACCACAAUAUUCUUCCAUUCCGGGACCAGCUUGAUCAGAUGACAGACAAUGCGCUAUUUAUAUGGACGCCGUACGCUGGUAUUUUGGAUAAGUUGCCGCCUUUUGCAGGGCAGGUCAGGCCGUGUGGAGGUAGCGGUGUCCAUUGAUACACCUAGACAUCUUUGAGGACCACAUGCCCGAGGGCGUCUUACGAUAGUUUGGGCAUAUACAGAAUAUACCCUCCGACGUUCGUCAUAAGCUCCGACACUACCAGCGGGACGAUUGAGCAGCCAUUGAUGAUGCAUUUUUGGCUUUGAUGGGUGUCCAGCUCUAGCGUUGGCAGGAUAGGUUGGGGACUUUAGCUGUGGUCGGUCAUACGACUCCCAUCAUGGAUUACAUGCACGGGCAUCAUGGGAUCACACGCCGAUUGAUUGGCAACCCAGCUUUGCGUCCCGCAAGGGAUGUAAGAUACGCAGCACUCGCGGGGCAGUACAAGGCGUUGGUAAGUUUAUCGCAUUUAGAUUUAUUUAAUUGUAUUAAUUAGUACGUUUUAAAAAUAACUAUUUUUUACUAUUGAACACAAAUGCAACUGGUGGCCGUACAACGAUUACGCAUAUUGGGAUUAGAGAAUAUGUCUUACCUCGGGGUUGCGGGGCUUGCGGUGGAGAUGGUACGGAUAUCCGAGGACAGUAUCCGCCAGGUAGGAGAGUUUAGGCGCAUGAAUGAUCCUGUUCCAGAGGGUGAGGAUCAAGCGGCGCGAGGAGGAGGACGUGGUGCUGCCAGAGGACGCGGUCCCUCUAGAGGACGCGGUGCUGCUGGAGGACCUGGUGGUGGGCGACACCAUCUGGUAGAUGAGGUAGAUGAGUCCGCUCCCAUUCUAGAGGUUGUUCCCAUUCCAGUCCAUCCGCAGCGGUUCCAGGCUAGUGGCAGCUCAGCUGGACAGUCACCUACGUUUACGCCGGUACGCCUACUUGCGGAGAUACCUGAGUGUUCAUCUCAGCCGAGCCAGAAUGCGUACAUGGAGGAGCAUGAUGACAUCGAUUGGGCGGCGUUUCGCGCAUCAUUAGAUGAUGAGCGGCCAGUGAGAAAUUUAGACGGACCUAGGAUUCUUGAUUCCGAUGACUUUUUAAUCCUGUGGGUCCACCACAGCGACCUACCCAGGCAUUUUCUCAUGGGCUUGCCGAGCCAGAGGCGUCUGCUUAUGUGACUGUCGAGCCACAGGAUUCGGGGCCAAUGGGUCCACAAGAGCAACCCACUCAGACGUUUUCUCAUGGGCCUACCGAGCCAGAGAUGUCUUCUCAUGAGACUGUCGAGCCAUAGAUAAGAUUUUUAGUUAAAAUCAAUUUUAUCCAAUAUAAGCUGAAUAUUUUUUUUGACCUUUAUUUGGACCUGGAACAACAUCUUGUCCAUGAGACUACUUCAUAUUCUGUACCAGACCCAUCUCAGUAGCCUACUCAGGCACCCGUCGAUACACAAGUUUGAUUAUUCAACAAACGUUAAUGUAUUCAAUAUAAAUAAGAAAUGAUAGUAAUUUUCAUAUAUUUUUCAAGUUCAUCCUUCCGCGCCCGCGGUGGCAACUCCCGACGAGGAUGAGGUCACGUUUCCAGACCCAGCUCAGCCUGAGAUUCUGAGCAUACCAGCGGGACUAGAUCCGAAGAAGAAGCACGUUAUGCAGAAGGGCGCAAGGGCGAAGGAUGAUCAUGGCUUAGAGCGCCCUCUUAUUAAGAGGAAAAAAGGGGAUAAAGACGAUGGCAAGGGCGGUGGGGAUGGUAUGAGCCUUAGGCCUAAGGAUAGUCUCAGGUAUACCACAUGUGGGACCUACUAGUAUAUACAAUAGUGUU